rnacentral:lncRNA from 1 species
AGGGCCAGUCUCUUCUCAGUGGUAUCCAGUGACAGGACAAGAGGCAAUGGGCAUAAACUGAAACACAGGAAAUUCCACUUGAACAAAAGAAAACACUUCUUUACUGUGAGGGUGGUUGAACACUGGAACAGAUUGUCCAGAGAAGUUGUGGAGUCUCUAUCCUUGGAGAUAUUCAAAACCUGACUGGACAUGGUCCUGAGUACCCUGCUCUAGUUGACAUUGCCUUAAGUAGGGAUACUGGACCAGAUGAUCUCCAGACAUCCCUUCCAACCACAGCUAUUCUGUGGUUCUGUGAUACUACGACCUUGUGUCCACAGUUUUUGAGACCCAAAAAGAAAAGUAGGUCUAGCAGGUUUACUUCAUCUUCCAUUUUGAAGCUGAGCUGGGUCUGCUGUGAGAGCGACACCCCACAACCUGUGUACUUUGACUCCUUCACCCACCCAAGUCUUAACCAGGAAAUCUCUUCAUGAUGGCUUGAGAGCAUGUCAUUUUCUGUGUUUUCUGUGAAGAAUCGCAAUAACACCAGUGAGUACAACAGGACAUUUUGUUACCCUGUUUCUGCAUGUAGUUUUCCUAAUAAGGUCCUAAUAAAAGAUUACUUUGAAACUAGUCUUGCUAGUUUUUAGUGGUGCCAGAAGUACAAGAUGAGUGCCAGAAGGCCCCGUGAAAAAUUAAAAUGGCAACUAUAAAGCUUGUAUAACUCCAUAUUAUAUUAAUAUUAUAUUAAUAACCUCACCAACCCUGAGAAUCCAGGGAAACACUGUACAUGCCUGGAAAGGAUUCAAACAGCAACUUGAAUAUUAUAUGAAAGCCAGAGAGGCAAAUAAACCACAGAUUCAAGUAGUUCUUGCACUCAUACUCUGCAGCAGCAGGCAGAGACCUCAGAAUGUGCUCAGUGCACUCCAGGAGGAUAGAAAUGUGGAAAUAUGGAGAAGCACUGCUGAACAAUGGCAAACUUGGAAGUUCUUCAUUUGUAGACAAAUUAUCCUCCUAAAAAAAAAAAAAAAAGAGAGAUGCUCCAGUCCCCUAAUCAUCUUUGUAGCCCUUUGCUGGACUUGCUCCAGUAGUGCCACAUCCC